UUUGAAUUAAGAAAAUUCAUGCUUUUAAGAAACCGAAAAUAAAUUUGUACUACAUUUAUAAAUAAAUAGCUUCCAAAUCACUUGCUGUGAAUAAAGACAGCCAUUUGUCAUCUAAGAGUCGUUAAUUAUCAGAAAAGUACUUAUAUGGGCAAUAAUAGUAAUGUGAAAAGAUGUCAAUCGAUGUUUUUCAAAUGAAAAAGCUAUAUGAACCAUUUUGACUUAUUUCAAAAGCUGAUUCGUAUCCAUGUUUUGAUGUUUUUCAGUAAUUUGAUGCAAUUUGAAGAAAGAAAAAAAAAAGAAAAAUCGUAACAAUCCAAAAAUGUUGCAGAGACAAACAAAAUUCUACCUUUAUUGAUUGUCUUCUUAUUCUUCUCUGUUGUUACCUUGUAAAUUUAACCAAAAUAAGUACCUAUAUACAUAUUUUCAAGUCUUUUUAAUAAAAACAAGAAAACCAAUUUAAUAUGAAUUUCUAUUGAAAGCCUGAUUUUCAUUGGAAUAAGAAAUUUAAUAUUAAAAGAAUAUACAAGUUAUGUAUAAGAAACUGAAAAUAUUUUUUUACACAAUAUUUAUAUUGAAUUUUUACAUUUCAGUUCUUUAUUUCGGAAGAUAGAGCAAAGAAGUAUGUACGUGCAUAAGUAUAUGUACAUAUGGGAUAGAGCGAUAUAGAAAAAAAUCAGUUGAAACAACAAGUAUGUAUAUCAAAUAUGUAACACAGUUAAGAAGACACAGUUAAAAUAACUAUAAAUAAUUCGUAUAGAAGUAUAAACAGUUUUUCUCAUACUUGCUUACAUACAACAUGUACAAGAUACCAGAUGUAAAAAUAAAUAGUUAAAUGUAUCCAGAGUUCUAUAUAACAUUUAAGUUUGUGUGCAAAAAUUCACAACAUGAGAUAAACAAAAUAUAAU